CAAAUAUGAGAGGAGAUUGAGUGAUCAGAUCCUAUUUUCCUCACAGACUACCUUUGUUCGACUCUUUCCCCUCUCCUCUAUCCCACCCUAUAAGAACCAAGAUUCAAUUUUUGCCAUUCUACUCCAAAUCGAACCCCAAAUGGAAAACCUAGCAUGCCUUCUCCUCUUUUGAUUUUGAAUGAAAUCGGCCACCGAUUGACCUUGAAACCUACGUCAAUCGAUAGAUCUCUUUGAGGUCUAUGUAUUGAAGAAGGAUUCAUGUUAUUUCGCGGUGGCCAACGCUCGGUCAAACCUCGGUUGACUUGCUAAGAGUCGCUGAAAUUUCUCUUUCUUCUAUACAUCCGGCUCACAGUAGUUAUCAUGGUAUAUACAACUAGCUAAACUGUAAAGAUUCCAAGCAAGUGGUCAUGUAACGAUAACCACUGUUGGCUGAAAUUUUCUUUGCCAGUCAGUUUGAACAUCCACAUGUAAUGCUUAGGUCAUUUUCCUCUUUAAUUUUUCCUGCCCUUAUUUGUUCUCACAUGCCAAUAUUAGUCCUCCAAUUUUGUUUUAUUAGGGUUUCUGUGUCAUCCUGCGAUUGCAUGUUAUAACGAUUAUGAUAUUUAGUUGCUUAAAAUUAAUUGCAUGAUUCAAUUCGACAUUGUUAAUUAAAGUAGUUGAUUUCUCUUUGUUGUUAAAAAUAUGGUUAACUAUAAACAUUUUAUGCUUUGAUUUUUUUUAACUUGUUAAUAGGCAUGUUGCAGCUUGGGGUCUGUUUAAUUAGUCGAGCUUUGAAUUUUUGGUUCGAGUACUUGAGGUAUACGGGCCUGUCAGUUGGGCCACUAACAUGCCCCCAACUUGUAUUUUACUAGGCUUUGACCCUGUAGGUGGUCUAUAGGAUUUGACCCAAGCUCUUGAACCACUCUCCUAAAGAGAUAAGAUUGAGCUGAAAGAGGGUACAUACCAAGAACUGGAGGGGUAUUAGAGGAAUUUGAGCGGGGAGGAAUCUUAUAUACCAGGCAGCUACUAGGAAAGUGUGUGUGUCGGGGGGAGGGUUGUAAAGAUCCGACCGGUUGUUUUGAGCAUUUGCAUUCAAUUUGGUGGUUUGAGGGCAUGCGUAGCUUCAUAUGGUGUAUUAUGACUUGCAUGUAACGUCGGUUUUGGUUUCCGAGUGAUUUAGGAUUGAUUUGGAAGAAUGAUUCUUAUUUUGGAAGCUUUAAGUUGGAAGAGUUGAUCAAGUUUAACUUUGGUGUGUUUGACCUUGGAUUGAAGUUUUGAUGAUUUCAUUAGAUCCAUAUGGUGAUUUUGGACUUGGGCAUGUGCUCAGAUUUUUAUUUGGAGAUUUCUAGAAGGGUUUGGCCAUAAUUGGCGAAAGUUGGCAAUUUCAAGGUUUGGAAUAUUUAUAUGUUUGACCGGGAGCUGACUUUGAUGUUAUCGGCUCGAAUUAUUGUUAUGGGAGUUAAAAUAGAUUCUUUAUUUUAUUUGGAACUUGUGUGCAAAAUUUGAGGUCAGUCCGAGUUGAUUUGAUGAGGUUCGACACGAAUUUUAGAAGUUGAAAGUUCAAAAGUUCAUCAAAUUUUAUUUGAGGUGUGAUUCGUGAUUUUGAUGUUUUUAUGUGUAAUUUGAGGCCUCGCGUAGGUCCAUAUUAUAUUUUGUACUUGUUGGUAUGUUUAGACAGGGUCUCGAGGGGCUCGGGUGAGUUUCAGACGGGUUUCAGACCAUUUUGGGCCAUGUUAGUUCUGUUGGUUUUUGCUGCUUCAUUUUUUCUUCGAGUUUGCGUCCCUAUAUAUUCAUGUUCGUGCAAUGUUAGUGGUGGUAUUCUUUGCGUUCGCAUCCCUUUUUUCGUGUUCGCGUAGUGUUGAGCUGGGCUGGGCAGGUCAUGAUGGAUUCCUCUUCGCAUUCGCGCUGGUGUCUACGCGUUCCAUAUGGUCUGGCAGUUGUGUUUUUCGCAUUCGCGAGGGUUGCUCUACAAACACGUAGCAUUAUUUCGCAACAAUGUAUUUUGUGCAUUGCGAUCGCGAGGGUACAACUGCGAUGGCGUAGGGUACCACUGGGCAGAGCAUAUGAGUACUCUAUUUCGGACCUUGAGCUCAUUUUAUCACAUUUUGAGUUAUGGAGCUUGAAUUUGGGCAAUUUUGGAGAGGAUUUUAACCUCAUGGAUUCAGGUAAGUAUUUUUUACCUAGUUUUGAUUAUAUUCCAUGAUUCCAUCUUCGAUUUUGGCAUUUGAUUGAUGAAUUUAAAAGAGAAAUUNNNNNNNNNNNNNNNNNNNNNNNNNUUAUCAAAAUUUGUGAGUUUUUUCGGUUUUGGAAUACGAGACUAGAUUGACCUUUUGGUUGACUUUGAGUAUUUGAUUGAAAAUUCGACCCUUUUCAUUUGGGUUUGUUUUCUUUGGCAUUAAUUGAUGAUUUUGAGAUGCUUUUGGCUAAUUUCGAGCCGUUCGGAGGCUGAUUCACAUGAGAUGGCAUUUAUAGGGUAUUAUUUGGCUUGCUCGUAUUUGAUUUGUCUUGUUCGAGUUAAGUAAUAUAUCUAAACUUGGAUUUGAGGUAAUUAUCCCCGAAAACUAUGAUAUUUGAGAUGGGUUAGAGGUGACGCACGUGCUAGGUGACGAGCGUGUGUGCGUGCACUGAAAUAUAUUCAUAAUACAGGUAGUUUUAUGCUAUUAUGUGCCUUGUUUUGCUACCAUGCUUCUUUGAUAUCAUGUUUUCUCCAUUUAUAUGAUUAUGUGAGAUGGUAUUCAUGCUAGAAAUUAUGUCUAGGCCACCUGCUCAAUUAUUGAGACAUGAUAGGACUAUUUUUCCAUGUUGAGCUAAUUGCCUUAGCCGUAGUCAUAAUGUUUCAGUCAUAAUAGUUAUAUCCGCAUGUUAUAUCUCUACCUUUGUACAUUUGUUAUAUGUUAUCUCACUUGUUAUUGGUGUCUUAGUACGUGACACAGGUUGAUUUAUAAUUGAGGCAUAUUGGGGUAUUCCAUGUUAUAUGAUUGGAUUAUGUUUCUGUGAUAUAUUGAGAUAUGGAGACUUGAGCGGAUUGAUGACUGAUGUAGGCCGUAGAGCUGUGUUGUGAGUUAUGUUGGAUCGGGUUGCACACAACAACGAUUAUAUUGAUAUUGAGGCGACGCAUACACCAGGACCCACAUUGGGCUAAGUAUUACAGAUUUUGAGGCUACGCAUGCACCAGACCAUAUUAGCUUAUGAUUAGCAUUUGGGCAGGAUCCAUUCCUCCGGAGUCCGACAUAUCAGCAAUGGGCUCAAGUGCAGUGUUUUAUAUGCAUGCUUUAGUGAUGGGAAUUUAUGUCAGGCACCCAUACAGUGCUACGUGUUGCUGUGUAUGAUCGUGAGGGCCUUGGACCAGGUACUGUAAGUGUGGUAAGUGUGUUUAUUCUUGGUUGUUUCACUGUGAUGAUAUUUAGUUGACAUGUAUAUUUUUGACAUGUAGGCAUAGAUAUGUAUUUUUCUCAUGCUAGACAGUUUAUGACUUCUGAUGACUUGGCAUGUAUAUUGACAUGUAGGUAUAAGGAUGUAUAUUCCUCUUGCUAGACGGUAAUAUGAUAUUUGAUAAUUUGAAAUUUAUAUUUGACAGAUAAGCAUAGAGGUGUAUAUUUUUCAUGCUAGACGAUAUAUGAUAAUUACUGACUUGACAUGUAUACUAAUAUGUAGGCAUAAAGAUGUACUUUUCUCAUGCUAAUUGGUAAAUAGAGAUUCUUAUCUAGUGUUGUGAAUUGGAAAUAUAGAGUUAGUUUGAUAAACUCAUGCUUAGUUGAUUUUGAUGCUAAGGUUUAGACUUUGACUGUCAUACUUAAAAAGCAUAUCUAUUUUUCUGUAACUAUGACCGAGUUGAGCAUAAUAUUUUUCUGAGUUGUUACUAUUUCCGGCAUUAUCAUAUCUCAUGUUAUUAUCGAUUAUUUGAUGUUAGACUCUGACUAUCUUCCAAGCUCGUCACUGCUUUCAACCUGAGGUUAGGUUUGCUACUUAUUGAGUACAUGAGGUCGGUUGUACUCAUACUACACUUCUGCACCUUGCAUGCAUAUCUUGGUGUUGAUGCUCUGUGUAUAGCGGGAGCUGGCAUUGAAGAUGUACCUACUUUUCGGAUAUAGCUACUACUUGUCAUUGGUAGUUUUAAAACUUAAAUUUUGUUUAUAUAUAUUCCAAAUAGAUGUUGUAUUAUUUCAUACUGGCUUUGUAAAUCUAAGUCUUAGUGGCUCGUGACUUGUACUAUCAAUCCUUGAG
rnacentral:lncRNA from 1 species